rnacentral:SRP_RNA from 1 species
CCGUACUAGGUGGGGAGCCAGCGGUGCCCUGUAUCUGCAAUCCGCUACAGCAGAGCCGAUCGGUUGCCUCGGUAAGUUUUUGGGUGUAAGCUUUUGCUUUGACUAAGCGAUGAAAUCAGGGUCUUGGGCAAUAACGGCUUGUGAACCAUGUCAGGUCCGGAAGGAAGCAGCAUUAAGCAAGUUCUUUAUGUGCACCAAGGUUGCUUUGGUGGAGUAAGGUCUUUGCAAAAAUUGCACUUGAAGCUUAACAAAGCAACUUGUGCGG